rnacentral:lncRNA from 1 species
GUGCACACACACACACAGUGUGCACACAGACACACAGUGUGCACACAGACACACAGGGCACACACACACAGUGUGCACACACACACACAGUGUGCACACAGACACACAGGGCACACACACACAGUGUGCACACACACAGUGCACACACACAGAGCCAGCACACACACACACACACACAGUGCACACACACACACAGUGUGCACACACACAGAGCCAGCACACACACAGCACCGGUGGGACACACAGGGUGGCACAUGCAGGACUUGCCCCCCUCCCCUCGCCAUCCCUGGGACCCCCACCGCCCGCUCCCUGGGCGAUCCCUGCUCUCCCCUUCCCACCUGGAGCUCCCUGUGCAUCCUGACCCGCACCAGUUUUAUUUUCGUGCUGCAUUGCUGUUGACAUGGAAACCAAUACCACUUUCUGUUCCAGAGAAUUGGAAGCUAAAGCUACCAAAGAAGUCGAAAGAAAACUAAGCAGGGCUUUCCUGCCUCAUUUAUGUGGAACUGAGAGAAGGGAUUUAGUGCAAGAAGAGGAAGAACAGUUGAUGGAAGAAAGGAAAAAGAGAAAAGAAGACAAGAAGAAGAAGGAAGCUGCUCAAAAAAAGGUAUGUGGAGCACUGAGAAUAAACUCCCGUGCUUGGAGCUGACUUGUUUCAUCACUAGUAUUUUCUUAUUAAUUUAAUGUUUUAAAUUUAAACGUACUGUCAGUUAUUUAGAGGUAACUGACAUAUUGAACAUUGUACUCUGUGUAGUUUCUUACAAAACUAAAUUUUCUUCUGAGAAUGAUCCUUCUUUUUCCUGAUCAUCUGUUGAGGCAGUCUCAGGUUUGAAGCAUCUCAGUGUUAGUGCAUUUACUAGUAAAAUAAAAGUACCAUUUUAAGGCA